GCCUCGUUAGCUCAGCUGGAUAGAGCACCUGCCUUCUAAGCAGGCGGUCACACGUUCGAAUCGUGUACGGGGUA
rnacentral:tRNA from 5 species